AAGAGAGAUACACAUAGAGAGAGAGUAGGCAGAGUCAGUGAGAAGCCAUCUAGCCGCCCACAGAAGACAGGCAUACCGAAACUUUCCAGUUGCAGAUGUGAGCUCUCAGCUGUUCCUGCCUCCAUACCUCAGCUCUGCCUUCAUGGACUCUGACCCUCUAAAACUAAGAGUGUUUGGGAUCCCCUGAGACUGGAGUUACGGAAGUUAGAAGUCACUAUGUAGGUGCUGAAAAUUUAACUGAAGUCCUCUGGAAGAACAACAGUGCUCCCAUCUACUGGAACAUUGAUGAACCAUUCUGCCUCAGUCUUUGAAAAACAGCAACCAAGUCUUUGUUUUAAAAAGUUGUUAUGACCAUCUUGCAACCCUACCUUUGUUUCAAAAGCUUAUUAUAAACACCUGUUGUUAUUGUUACCUUGUUGUUAUGACUACUUUGCUAUGUUCUGCUUCUAGAACCCCACCUAUUUGUCAAAUCCCACAUUUGAAAACCCCUACUCUUCAGUUACAAAAUCCUUAUCUCCCUCAUGUCCAAUACUGACCUCUUGAGCCCUACCUUAGGGAGAGACAGUCCAUGUACAUGAAUAAAAAAAGCUUGCUUUAAUAAUUUGA